rnacentral:rRNA from 1 species
UCAGUUCGGAUUGCAGGCUGCAACUCGCCUGCAUGAAGCUGGAAUUGCUAGUAAUCGCGAAUCAGAAUGUCGCGGUGAAUACGUUCCCGGGUCUUGUACACACCGCCCGUCACACCAUGGGAGUCGGAAAUGCCCGAAGUCAGUGACCCAACCGCAAGGAGGGAGCUGCCGAAGGCAGGUCCGGUAACUGGGGUGAAGUCGUAACAAGGUAAC